GAUGAACGCUGGCGGCGUGCCUAAUACAUGCAAGUCGAGCGAACGGACGAGAAGCUUGCUUCUCUGAUGUUAGCGGCGGACGGGUGAGUAACACGUGGAUAACCUACCUAUAAGACUGGGAUAACUUCGGGAAACCGGAGCUAAUACCGGAUAAUAUUUUGAACCGCAUGGUUCAAAAGUGAAAGACGGUCUUGCUGUCACUUAUAGAUGGAUCCGCGCUGCAUUAGCUAGUUGGUAAGGUAACGGCUUACCAAGGCAACGAUGCAUAGCCGACCUGAGAGGGGGGUCCGGCCCCACGGAACUUGGAACCGGGCCAGACUCCUAAGGGAGGGAGGAGUAGGGAAUUUUUCGCAAUGGGGGAAAGCCUUACGGGGCCAAGGCGGGGGAGGGAAGGAGGUGUUCGGGUUGUAAAACUCUUUUUUUAGGGAAAAAAAAAUGUGUAAAGAAAUGUGGACCUUUUGACGGGUCCUAAUCAAAAAGCCCCGGCUAAAUUCGUG
rnacentral:rRNA from 1 species